CGUAACGCCGAUGGUAGUGUGGGGCUUCCCCAUGUGAGAGUAGGUCACCGCCAGGU
rnacentral:rRNA from 1 species